UNGGAGAUGUUUGGUACCUGGCUACCUUG
rnacentral:piRNA from 1 species